CUAAAGUUUUAUUCUUGCUUAAAAAUUUAUUUUUAUAAUAUUUUACAUGUAUAUAUUUGUGUCAUUUUAUUUUUUUUUCUAAAUGAAUUAAGUUUUUGAUUUGCAGUAUUUAAUUUUAUAAAUUAAGGUAACUUAGAUUUAGUAAUUAUUAUAAUAUUGGCUAAAUUCGUGCCAGCAGUCGCGGUUAGACGUUAAAUGUAGAUAAAUUUUAUUAGAUUUGGAGUUAAAAUUUAUUAUGGUGAAUUUAAUUUUAAUUUUAUUGGGUGAAAUUUUAAUAUUAAUGUUAAAUUCAAUAAUUUUUUUUGAAGCUUUGAAAUUUAAUUUAUAAACUAGGAUUAGAUACCCUAUUAUUUUAAAUGUAAAGUUAUUUCUUGAGUAGUAAUAGUUAUGAUCUUGAAACUCAAAGAAUCUGGCGGUAUUUUAGUCUUUUCAGAGGAAUCUGUCCCUUAAUUGAUAAUACACAAUUAACUUUACUUAAUUUUGUAAAUUCAGUUUGUAUACCGCCGUCAUCAGUUUAUCUUUUGAAAGUAAAAAUUUUCUUUAAAUUUUAUUAAAUUAAAUGUCAGGUCAAGGUGCAGUUUAUAAUUAAGUGGAGAUGGAUUACAAUAAAUAUAUUUAAUAUGGAUUUUAAUUUGAAAUAUAUUAUUUGAAGGUGGAUUUGAAUGUAAUUUUAUUAAUUUUAUUAGUUUGAUUAUAGCUCUAAAAUAUGCACAUAUCGCCCGUCGCUCUCAUUAAUAAGUUGAGAUAAGUCGUAACAUAGUAGUUUUACUGGAAAGUGAAUCUAGAAAGAU
rnacentral:ncRNA from 1 species